rnacentral:rRNA from 1 species
GACGAACGCUGGCGGCGUGCCUAAUACAUGCAAGUAGAACGCUGAAGGAGGAGCUUGCUUCUCUGGAUGAGUUGCGAACGGGUGAGUAACGCGUAGGUAACCUGCCUGGUAGCAGGGGAUAACUAUUGGAAACGAUAGCUAAUACCGCAUAACAGUAGAUAUUGCAUGAUAUCUGCUUGAAAGGUGCAAUUGCAUCACUACCAGAUGGACCUGCGUUGUAUUAGCUAGUUGGUGAGGUAACGGCUCACCAAGGCGACGAUACAUAGCCGACCUGAGAGGGUGAUCGGCCACACUGGGACUGAGACACGGCCCAGACUCCUACGGGAGGCAGCAGUAGGGAAUCUUCGGCAAUGGACGGAAGUCUGACCGAGCAACGCCGCGUGAGUGAAGAAGGUUUUCGGAUCGUAAAGCUCUGUUGUAAGAGAAGAACGAGUGUGAGAGUGGAAAGUUCACACUGUGACG